AGUCUUGCAACUUGCCCGCUGGCGCGCUUCGCCACGCCGACUUUGCAUCGGAGGAGCUUAGCUUGCCGCCACGUUUGGUUUGAAGCCAACGAGAGGUUCCGUCCCCUCGUUGCGAGGACAAAAAUAUUGGUGAAGAAAAUCCCGCGAAGGCAGUUUGGUGAAUGAUGACAAAGAGGCACGAAAAA